GCCUGAGUCUGUUACACAAGGGCCAGCAUUUUCUGCUUCCCAUACGUAACACCAUCUCCAAGGAAACUUGUUUCUUGAACCUGGCUCUUUGCUCCCAAUCCUGGGAAUUAAAAGACAGCCAGAAUCCGGGCAGGGUCUAGCAGAGAAACAGACUGAGUUUUUCCUGUCAUUGCCCAAAAGUAUAGGUCACAAGGCCCCCUUAGUGUUGACCAAAGACCUGACACACAAGAGGGUGCCCAUGGGUAUGACCACCUGCCUGGUCCCAUUAGUGCUCAGGGUGUAACUCUGCUGGCCCCCAACUGACCUGACUGCUUGGGUAUGAGAAUAACUAGGAACUGGGACAAAAAGUCUACGAGUCAGUAAGACAUAGCAGGCCUUAAUCUACCAAAAGCCGGGUAAACAAAGGAGGGAAAUCUGACUACAUCCUUCAGCUAUUGUGGUACAACAGAUGGAGGAUGAAAGGGACAACUGGGCAGUGAACCUGGGGCCAGGGCCAAGACCUGUUCUCAGCCCAAGCUGGACUUCAGCUAUAGCCAUGGCUCCGUGGCUGGUUAAUGAGCCAAUCCUUUUUUAAGGUUGGACCGAGGAUGCCAGGCUGCCCGGAAUGGAUGCUGACGUGACCGUCUCUGCAGCCCGACCCACUGUGCCAGCUCGCCGUGGGCUCAGACUCCGCGACGCUGUGCCUCUCACCGGCGCUGGCAUCUGGCCGGCCUCACGGCAUCCGGUCACUCGGGAUCCUGCUCUGGCACGCCCCGGGCGGCGGGCUCGUCCAGGAAAUAGAGGCUGGCUGGUGUCGGGAGGCAAGCUCACAGACAUCGAUUUUAGAGUCCCUCUGCCGAGGCGCGUACACAGACCAGCCCCGCCACGGGCGCGCAUCUAGCCUCCGACAGGAUGCGCUGGACCGCCGGAAGCGCGUGAGGGCGGGGACAGAAGCCUGCGCCUGCGCAGAGCUCGCUGCUUGGGGGUGGAGCGAGGAGGCGGAGCGAAGAGCCUAAUUUUACCACUCUGGCCGUAACCGACGUUUCCCCGUCCGGGUCUAUCCUAGUGGCCCUACUGCUGUCAAGCCCCACCUCCCUGAACCUGGACUGAAUUUUUGAGUGUCCGGGGCCGGAAGGCCUUGCUGGGACGGGCUGGGUCACAGCGGGUGUGGUUGGUGCUGUGGAAAACAAACAUAAGGCCUUGGAACCUCAGCCCGAACUCUAGUCCUGGAACCUCAACCUUAUGGUGGGGGAGGGGGCAAGGGGUGGAAAUGGAUGUCUGCCCCACCUGGAGGCGCCUGCCCUGGAUCAUCACAGCUGAUACGAGGAAGGAAAGGGAAUCCUGCCUGGGCAGUAGACCUCCCCACCCCCACCCCCGCCCGCCCAGGCCUGGUAUCGCUGCGAAGAGGGCUCACCACUUAAGUUGAGCCAGCUUGUAGGGCAGGACCAAGGCUGCAGGGACCUGGGAAUACCCAUCUAACUGGAUAACAGUUGCCCAGACAGCUGGGGAACCAGCUUAAGAGCCAACAGGGCCCCUGUGCUUGGAGGACUUUUGGGAGGCCUGGGCAGUCUACGGGGCCUCUUGCAGUGGAACUAGUAUUUAUUCCUAGUGCACGAACGGACUUUGGAAACCCACUCCCCUAUGGAGGAAUAAUCUCUCAUCCUAAAUACACGGGGGGAGGGCCUAGGCCCUGCCUCCAAAUGAUG